rnacentral:rRNA from 1 species
CAGUAGCCGCGGGAAUACGUAGGUGGCAAGCGUUGCCCGGAAUUAUUGGGCGUAAAGGGCUCGCAGGCGGUUUCUUAAGUCUGAUGUGAAAGCCCCCGGCUCAACCGGGGAGGGUCAUUGGAAACUGGGAAACUUGAGUGCAGAAGAGGAGAGUGGAAUUCCACGUGUAGCGGUGAAAUGCGUAGAGAUGUGGAGGAACACCAGUGGCGAAGGCGACUCUCUGGUCUGUAACUGACGCUGAGGAGCGAAAGCGUGGGGAGCGAACAGGAUUAGAUACCCGCGUAGUCCCUGUCUCUUAUAC